GGACUACCGGGGUAUCUAAUCCUGUUUGCUCCCCACGCUUUCGUGCCUUAGUGUCAGGAACGAGCCAGUAAUCUGCCUACGCCAUCGGUGUUCCUCCUAAUAUCAACGGAUUUUACCCCUACACUAGGAAUUCCAAUUACCUCUCUCGUCCUCUAGCUCCGCAGUUUUGGUAAUGUGUAUGCGGUUGAGCCGCACGCUUUCACUACCAACUUACGAUGCCACCUACGCAACUCUUUACGCCCAGUAAUUCCGGAUAACGCUUGGAUCCUCCGUAUUACCGCGGCUGCUGGCAC
rnacentral:rRNA from 1 species